GCGAACCACAUGCAGGGAAACUUGCACGUGUGGUUUUGGAUGGGGACCCCAGU
rfam:Solanum lycopersicum cultivar Heinz 1706 chromosome 10, whole genome shotgun sequence.